rnacentral:rRNA from 1 species
UGCAUAUCAAAAAAGCGGAGGAAAAGAAACUAACAAGGAUUCCCCUAGUAACUGCGAGUGAAGCGGGAAAAGCUCAAAUUUAAAAUCUGGUGGUCUUUGGCCAUCCGAGUUGUAAUCUAGAGAAGUGUUAUCCGCGCUGGACCGUGUACAAGUCCCCUGGAAUGGGGCGUCAUAGAGGGUGAGAAUCCCGUCUUUGACACGGACUACCAGGGCUUUGUGAUGCACUCUCAAAGAGUCGAGUUGUUUGGGAAUGCAGCUCAAAAUGGGUGGUAAAUUCCAUCUAAAGCUAAAUAUUGGCGAGAGACCGAUAGCGAACAAGUACCGUGAGGGAAAGAUGAAAAGAACUUUGGAAAGAGAGUUAAACAGUACGUGAAAUUGUUGAAAGGGAAACGCUUGAAGUCAGUCGCGUCUGCCAGGGAUCAACCUUACUUUUGUGAGGCGUACUUCCUGGUUGAUGGGUCAGCAUCAGUUUUGGUCGCUGGAUAAAGGUCAGAGAAAUGUGGCACCUUCGGGUGUGUUAUAGUCUUUGAUCAGAUACAGUGGCUGGGACUGAGGAACUCAGCGCCGCAAGGCUGUCUUAGGAUGCUGGCAAAAUGGCUUUAAUCGACCCGUCUUGAAACACGGACCAAAGGAGU